rnacentral:rRNA from 1 species
UGGGGAAUAUUGCACAAUGGGGGGAACCCUGAUGCAGCGACGCCGCGUGAGUGAAGAAGUAUUUCGGUAUGUAAAGCUCUAUCAGCAGGGACGAAGAUGACGGUACCUGCAGAAGAAGCCCCGGCUAACUACGUGCCAGCAGCCGCGGUAAUACGUAGGGGGCAAGCGUUAUCCGGAUUUACUGGGUGUAAAGGGAGCGUAGACGGCAGGGCAAGCCAGAAGUGAAAACGCAGAGCUUAACUUUGCGACUGCUUUUGGAACUGCCCAGCUAGAGUACAGAAGAGGUAAGUGGAAUUCCUAGUGUAGCGGUGAAAUGCGUAGAUAUUAGGAGGAACACCAGUGGCGAAGGCGGCUUACUGGACUGAGACUGACGUUGAGGCUCGAAAGCGUGGGGAGCAAACAGG